rnacentral:lncRNA from 1 species
GUAUUUGCAUUCUGCUCCAUAUUUGCAUGUUCCAGUGUUCAUAUAGUACCGGCACUCAGGUUGAUCAGGUCUCUGCGGAAGGUUAGGACUUGAUGGCAAGUGAACCUGCCCAUUGGAAGCCGAUUCCCCCUGACCCCUAGAGUUGUACGUAAGAUUGGAUCCAAGAAUGCUAGUAGAAGACACAGGGCUCAAGUUUCCCUAUUGAAGAAAUAAAAUCAAAAUUAAACCAAAGAAAAACUCAACGCACAAUAACCACUACAGUCCUCAGAAAAAUCAAUAGCUAAUAUUACCAACGAGGUCAAGAAUGAGCGUUUGAUUGAACAUGUCUUCAUGUCAAUGAGAAAGGACAAAUGGACAUACAGAAUGACAUUGAAUCUCCCUUAUGGUUUCAAAAUCUUGAACGCAAAAUUAACAAGAGAAGAUUGAUUAAAUAUAAGCAAGAAGCAGCAAAGCGGACAUGACAUCCAGUCAAGUUAAAAAAACAACCUUGUACUUUCUACUGAUUUAUGAAAAUCACUAGUAAAUGAACACCGAGGAACAUAUAAAAUAUUUUCAGAAAAUGCACUUUCGGCUGAGCUAGAUCAAACAGUUUAAAACUGUCCUCACUGCAAACUGAAUGAAGAAACAACAACGAUUGACAAGCUAAAGCAAAUAUACUUUUUUAAAGAAAAAUAUCUAGCUGUGCACAAUCUAUGAUACUGCUACUUAAACAGACAAGAUAUAGUGAUCUUAACAAAUGCUGGACACUAGUAGGAACAUUCAUACGUAAAGCAAACUGUUGUUCUAUUAAAAAAAAAAAAAACAAUACGCUCACCACAUAUGUAUUCCAGCCAUGGGCAGGUAGAACACCUUGAGGUGGAGAAAGAACAACUGCAGGCAUGUAAGGUUGAGGAGUUGCUAUUCGUGGGCCUGCUACAUAUGGUGCUCUUGGAAACGACCAUGCAGAAAGUCCACCUGUGUAAGGUACACCUGAAGAAGGCACAACUGAUGAGCCUGUAGAUCCAAAAGCAGGUAAGGCAGUAGU